UUCAUCAAAGGAGUUCAACCACAAUUCUCAAAAGCUUCACACAUUCUUGAUCAAGACAGUGUGAAGCAAAAUCAAUUUAUGGUGCCAACAAGAGUUUUAUCAAUAGAGGGCAACCACAUUUUUCAAAAGCUUCGCACACUCUUGAUCAAGACAAUGUGAAGCAAAACCAAUUUAUGGUGCCAACAAGAGCUUCAUCAAUGGAGGUCAACCACAAUUCUCAAAAGCUUCACACACUCUUGAUCAAGACAGUGUGAAGCAAAACCAAUUUAUGGUGCC
rnacentral:lncRNA from 1 species